UACGUAGGUGGCAAGCGUUGUCCGGAAUUAUUGGGCGUAAAGCGCGCGCAGGCGGUCCUUUAAGUCUGAUGUGAAAGCCCACGGCUCAACCGUGGAGGGUCAUUGGAAACUGGGGGACUUGAGUGCAGGAGAGAAGAGUGGAAUUCCACGUGUAGCGGUGAAAUGCGUAGAUAUCGAGAGGAACACCUGCGGCGAAGGCGGGUUGCUGGGCUGACACUGACGCUGAGGCGCGAAAGCCAGGGGAGCGAACGGG
rnacentral:rRNA from 1 species